UACGUAGGAUGCAAGCGUUAUCCGGAUUUAUUGGGCGUAAAGCGUACGUAGGCGGUUUCUUAAGUCUGGGGUUAAAGACCAAGGCUCAACCUUGGGAGUGCCCUGGAUACUGGGAGGCUGGAGGACGGCAGAGGAAAGUGGAAUUCCCAGUGUAGCGGUGAAAUGCGUAGAUAUUGGGAGGAACACCAGUGGCGAAAGCGACUUUCUGGGCCGUUCCUGACGCUGAGGUACGAAAGCCAGGGGAGCAAAC
rnacentral:rRNA from 1 species